rnacentral:lncRNA from 1 species
AAAACAAUGAAGUACAGCCCUGCUUAGAGAAACUUGUGGUUUAGUCAGAAAGGCAGGAGGAUGAAAGAUAAGCAAUAUAAGGCAGUGUGUCAGUGGCAUAUGAUUUCUAUAGACAAUAUGUGCUCUAGGGUGGUGAAGAGUAGUCACUAGACUGGAAUGAUUGGAUUGGAAAAGGCUUCAUGGAAGAAGAAAACUCAGAUGAGCCUUGGUGAGUGGGUAGAAUUGGAUUGGUAGGAAUGGUUCAUGAACAAUGUUAUUGGAAGGUGAGAAAAGCUUGUUGGGUAACUAAAUUGGCCUGCCUGAAAUGAAAAAUUGGAGUUGGGAGUGAUGGGGCGAUAGUUGGAAAAGUAGCUUGUGGUCAAGCUUUGGAAACUUUAAAUGCCAGGCCAAGAUUUUGUUUGUUUGGUUGGUUUUGUUUUGUUUUGUUUUUGAGGACCCAAAGCAUCAGAAUUGUACAAACUAUUCUCUUUCCUAUUGCAUUUUCCCUUGAGAACAUGAACUGACAAGGAACAAGGUGAAGGAGUUUGACUGGACUUUAGGGAUAAUAUAACUCCCUUAAAAGAAGUGUUAAAAUGAAGGAGAGAUUUUACAAAUGGCAAGUAGCAUAAAAAAUGGGAAUUGUAAAGAAUUAGUAUAGAUGAUUUUUGACUGGGG